CUUUCCUCACUUUUCAAUUAUUUUAAGAAAAUCCUCUGCUACUUUCACAACCUUCAUUGAAUCCUUCAUCGAUCCUAUAGUCUUUUUUCUCCUCUAUUAUAGAUUCUCAAGAACUCUCACUCUAUUGAGUCAUGUGAGUAUCAUCAAAGAACCUUUAGAAGUCACAUCCUCAUUAUCCAUUGAGAAAAGUGGAAAAAACUCAGAAUCCUUCGAAAGGCAAAAAGGCAAAUUUAGUUUCAAUCCAAAUCAUGGAGAGGUUCUUACUAUAAGGCUUGGGAGCCCAAAUUGGGGAAGGUAUUUUUUGAAGAGGCUUUUGAAAUUCAAGCCAAGUAGGCUAUGGAAGAGUUGAAUAUGGUGAACGUCAAGACGAAGGAACAAAAUGACAAGCAUGUUAAGAGAAUUGGGUGUCUCAAGGCAUUGCUCGCGCAGAAGGAAGCAUAUUCGAUUCAACUAGCUGAUGAAUAUGCUACGUUCACAAAUGAGCUUAAUGGGGCAAGAGAGCAAGGGAGACUUCUAGAGCAAGCCCUUGGAUCUUGAAAAGUAACUACCGAAUCUUUCAAGCUUGAGGAGGAAAAGCUACGAACUGAAAGAGACAAUGAUAUCUCGACUUAUAAUAGUUUGAAACAUCAAUCGGAGCUUGCUCAAAAUGUCAUUUUUCUAGAUUUUAAGCUGUCAAUAUUAGAAGUUGUUUGUGCGAGAAUUCCUAAUCUGGAGAGGGUGGUCGAGAAAAUAAGACAAGCAGUGGAAAUAGCCCGAUAGGCUAUGAACUCAUCCUUUACAAAAGAAGAUUAUACGGAAGGAUGGAUGCUUCCAGACCUUCAGGAUGAGGCUACUGGCAGGGACAUACCGAGCUGCAUCCUAACUUUUCGGUUCCUCAAGCUAAUUCUUCUUCCUCUUCUCCACCAUCUUCUAACUUGAAUCCUCAAGAUACUCAGUAUUCUUCUCUUUCAUCAAAAGAUUAGUGAAGUGGAGUGACCAACAACCAGUGUUUGAAUAUUUUGGAAGUUUUUAUUUUUCUUUAGUACCAGUCAUGGAGUCAUUGGAACACCUCUUUUGCAGGUUUUAGGCUUGUAUCAAUGAUAAAGUUUCUAUUUCUGCAUUCGUUCAUACUUAGAAAUAUUUUUCGCUUCGAUUUUGAUGUCUUGCUAGUGCAUUUUACAAUUCAGUUUCAUUGACUUGAA